AGCCUGAUGCAGCACGCCGCGUGAGGGACGACGGCCUUCGGGUUGUAAACCUCUUUUAGCAGGGAAGAAGCGAAAGUGACGGUACCUGCAGAAAAAGCACCGGCUAACUACGUGCCAGCAGCCGCGGUAAUACGUAGGGUGCAAGCGUUAUCCGGAAUUAUUGGGCGUAAAGAGCUCGUAGGCGGUUUGUCGCGUCUGCUGUGAAAACUGGGGGCUCAACCCCCAGCCUGCAGUGGGUACGGGCAGACUAGAGUGCGGUAGGGGAGAUUGGAAUUCCUGGUGUAGCGGUGGAAUGCGCAGAUAUCAGGAGGAACACCGAUGGCGAAGGCAGAUCUCUGGGCCGUAACUGACGCUGAGGAGCGAAAGGGUGGGGAGCAAACAGGCUUAGAUACCCUGGUAGUCCACCCCGUAAACGUUGGGAACUAGUUGUGGGGUCCAUUCCACGGAUUCCGUGACGCAGCUAACGCAUUAAGUUCCCCGCCUGGGGAGUACGGCCGCAAGGCUAAAACUCAAAGGAAUUGACGGGGACCCGCACAAGCGGCGGAGCAUGCGGAUUAAUUCGAUGCAACGCGAAGAACCUUACCAAGGCUUGACAUAUACGAGAACGCUGCAGAAAUGUAGAACUCUUUGGAC
rnacentral:rRNA from 1 species